rnacentral:rRNA from 1 species
UACAGAGGAUGCAAGCGUUAUCCGGAAUGAUUGGGCGUAAAGCGUCUGUAGGUGGCUUUUUAAGUCCGCCGUCAAAUCCCAGGGCUCAACUCUGGACAGGCGGUGGAAACUACCAAGCUGGAGUACGGUAGGGGCAGAGGGAAUUUCCGGUGGAGCGGUGAAAUGCGUAGAUAUUUGGAGGAACACCAGUGGCGAAAGCAGCUUUCUGGGACAUUCCUGACGCUGAGGUUCGAAAGCUCGGGGAGCAAACAGG